GAUGAACGCUAGCGGCAGGCUUAACACAUGCAAGUCGAGGGCAGCGGGAUGUAGCAAUACAUUGCCGGCGACCGGCGCAAGGGUGCGUAACGCGUGAGCAACAUGCCCGUCACAGGAGGAUAAACCAUGGAAACGUGGCCUAAUACUCCAUAGUAUGUUUUGGAGGCAUCUCUGAGACAUUAAAGCUUCGGUGGUGACGGAUUGGCUCGCGUGACAUUAGCUAGAUGGAGAGGUAACGGCUCACCAUGGCGACGAUGUCUAGGGGAACCGAGAGGGUUAAUCCCCCGACACUGGUACUGAGACACGG
rnacentral:rRNA from 1 species